CACAUACCAAUGACAAAACCCAAUGGACCAUUAAUAACACUACAAAAAAACGGGGGAAUUCCGGCGGUUUUAUUAUGGCGGUUGUCAAUAACCGCCGCUGUAAACUGUACAUUGUGGCAGUUUUUUAAGACGCCGCUCUAUACCGUAUAUUACGGCGGUUUUACCCGCCCUUGUUAUGUUUGACAAUUAUUAUGGUGUAUUGUGGCAGUAUCAGCCGCCGCUACUCUCCAAUUUUAUUUUCAGCUUUCCCUCUCCUUCUUUUUAGUGAAAUUAUCCCUCUCUUUUCUUCCCUCUUAUUUUUUCUUUUUGUCUAGAUCCAUUCUCUAUAUCGAUAAAAAAAAACUCCUCUCUCUCUCUCGAAAACGAAACAAACAAACCCUUACUUAAGCUUAACACUUCUCUCUCGUCAUCAGUUCUGUCUCCCACCGUACGCCGAAAUCUUUUGUGGUUGUCUCCCAUCUUCGAGAGGCAAGUUCUUUCCCGCCGUCUCCAAUGUUUGUAGAAACUAAAAGGUUAAUCGGUUGCUGAAAAAGGCAGGUUUGUCCUAUAAUUUAAGUCUUUCAUAGCUUCAAUUUCUCUUUUGCGUUAUUGCUCAAAUCCCAUAAAAACCCUAAUUUUUUUUCCCUUCUCAUCCACAAUUUUGCUUCGGUUGGGUAUUAAUUUUGCGUGUGUCAAGGAUUCAGUGUUGUUAUAGUCUAAUUUUUUGUGUGUCAAGGAUUCAAUGUUCUAUGCAUAAUAUGCAAUACUGUCAAUUCUUAAUUUAUUUUUAAUCUAUUUUUGUUCAGUGAAAAAACGAAGACAACAAAACAGAGAGAACCAUUUACCGUCAUGCCUUUAUGUGUGAUAUAUUUGGCUUUUAACUGGUUUGUUAUGAUUCCAGGAGUAAAAUUUGUAAAUUUUUGAGAAUGGAUUUAUAUAUAUACAUUUAGAGCAUUCAUACUUUCUUUAACAUUGAAAAUUUGUUCAUGCCAGUUCUAAUUUAUAUUGGCCUCUUAAUUUUUGAGGGGCUUAUUAUAUCUAUCUGGUGAAAAGUGAAAAGUUCAUGAUGAUAUGCAUUAACAGCAUAUUCGUUUUAGAAGAUGGAUUCUGCAACUUUGCAGCAUCAACAACACCUGAAAUAUACUCUGGUGAUUGUGAAUAGCGCAACUCUCGCAUUUUUGGCUUCAGGGAGUAUGGAUACGAACAUACUUCAACAUCACAUGAGGGUUUCAAGUCACUUUAUUGGCAAGCUUGUUAGCCAUAAGUUUGAGGUAUGUGGAUAGGAAUGGUCUUGUGAUGACAAAUAACUUGCUUAUGGUAGUAAUGAUAAUCAGGUAUGCCAACUCACACAAAAUUACUUUUUGUUUAGUACAUUCAUUUAUGAGUUUUAAUUCACCUCUUGUUCAAUGUCAUGUUUUGUUAUUCAGAAAUGAUAAUUAUUACGAAUGUUGAAAGGACGAAACACACAAAGGGCUAAUUGAAAGGCUCAUUUCAACGCACAACUCAACUUUGAUUUCUGGCAAAACCACAAAUGACAGAUUUUUUCCUUUUUUAAAGUAAAACAUGUGUAAUUAUUGUGCUAAGUGCUUCGUAACAUUUAGCACAUCUCUUUUUUCUUAUAUGAGCAGCUUUUGGUAUGGAAUCAUAACUCUCCAACCAACUUUGAGACUAACAUAGCACACUGCUGCUGUGAAGGCUAGUGCUUGGUCCCCUCACUAUAGCAGCCUUGUGUCCGGAGGUGGAACUGCUGAUAGGUGUAUUCGUUUCUGGAACACUACAAACAUCCACCCUCUUGUGUCUUGUGAGCUACAAAUGCUACAUUGGGAGGUGAAGAUUUCAUGAUAUUUUUUGCUUUUCCUUUUAGGUUGGUUUUUUUUUUUUUUUGCAACUAGAGUCAAAACUUUGGAGAUUUGGCCCCUGCUUAUGGUCUUGCUGGAUUUUAAAGUAUUAAACUGCUAUAAAUGGUUCUCCAUUCACUUAUUGGAAGACAAACGAGUCAUAUGAAAUACUGAACAUUAACAACUAAAGUUUAUUUGCUUCACAUUAGGUGUCACUUUAACAAGGAUUGCUUGGUUGUUCAAUGCUUGUGGCCAUAUGUAAAAGUGAAAACGUGGUGUCCAACAAGAUGUUAUUAACUUGCUUUGACUGGUUUUCAUGCUCAUAGAUUUGCAAUUGUCUCUUUAGCUAGCAGGGAACUAUUCUUUUGCGGAAUACAACUUAUUGGUAGAGGGGGAAGCAAGUAUGAAGAGCAACACAAGCAGAGCUGUUUGCCACGACCUUGUGGAGCAUAUGGAAAAGGAGAAAUCAUACCUUGUGGAGGCAAGUGACAGAAAGUAACAGGAAUGUGUUUGAAAGAGCUACACACUUGCUUGAAGGGUGGAGACAUGCUAAUAUAAAGCAGCUGCCGAGAACAACUCAUGUGGAAGAGGCAGCUGCUGUCACGAGACAGCAUAGCAGUGUAGCUUCGGAUAGCAGCAACAUGAUACAUAAAUGGCAGAAACCGCGGCGUGGAAGGCUCAAGUGCAAUGUCGACGCGUCCUUCUCAAUGACCGAGAACAAGUUGGAUAUAGGUAUGUGUAUCCGUAACGAAGAGGGACGAUUUAUACGCGCAAAAACAAUGUGGUUUUUCCCGGUUUGCUCGGUAGAUGUUGGGGAAGCUUUGGGACUGUUUUAUGCUAUUCAAUGGGUUCAUGAACUAAGACUUCAAAAUGUUGAUUUUGAGGUUGAUUCGAAACGUGUAGCAGAUUAUUUUAACCGAAGCAACAGAGAUAACACUGAGUUUGGAAACAUUUUUCUUUUAAAACCACAAUCCCACAAGUCAUAAAAAAGGGGAUAGUAGUUAACUUCAUUCUAUUAAGUAUUUUUACUUUACAUUUCAAAAACAAACUGAUAUGUGUAUGUAUGUGUUUGUCAUAGGUUUUC